CAACCCUUAAGCUCAGCUUAGUGUUGGGAAUCUACCGCGGGUGCUACCCUGUAGCUACCCUGUAGUUCCUCAAAACCAACGGCGGAGUUAUAGUUACCUCUGAGCGCAGUAAUUUUUAUCACGCUUGGGAAGUGCUAUACUUCUUGCCGCUAAACCCCCCAAUUUUUAAUGG
rnacentral:misc_RNA from 1 species